rnacentral:rRNA from 1 species
CCUACGGGAGGCAGCAGUGAGGAAUAUUGGUCAAUGGACGGAAGUCUGAACCAGCCAUCCCGCGUGCAGGACGACGGCCCUAUGGGUUGUAAACUGCUUUUCUGAAGGAAGAAUAAUCCCGACGUGUCGGGAGACGACGGUACUUCAGGAAUAAGCAUCGGCUAACUCCGUGCCAGCAGCCGCGGUAAUACGGAGGAUGCAAGCGUUAUCCGGAUUUAUUGGGUUUAAAGGGUGCGUAGGCGGAUUAAUAAGUCAGUGGUGAAAUCUUUCGGCUCAACCGAGAAACUGCCAUUGAUACUGUUAAUCUUGAGUUCGGUUGAGGUAGGCGGAAUGUGUAAUGUAGCGGUGAAAUGCUUAGAUAUUACACAGAACACCAAUUGCGUAGGCAGCUUACUAGACCGAUACUGACGCUGAGGCACGAAAGCGUGGGUAGCGAACAGGAUUAGAUACCCUGGUAGUCCACGCCGUAAACGAUGAUUACUCGUUGUUGGCGAUACACAGUCAGCGACCAAGCGAAAGCGAUAAGUAAUCCACCUGGGGAGUACGCUCGCAAGAGUGAAACUCAAAGGAAUUGACGGGGGCCCGCACAAGCGGUGGAACAUGUGGUUUAAUUCGAUGAUACGCGAGGAACCUUACCUGGGCUUAAAUGUAGAGUGCAUGAUCGGGAAACUGAUCUUUCCUUCGGGACUCUUUACAAGGUGCUGCAUGGUUGUCGUCAGCUCGUGCCGUGAGGUGUCGGGUUAAGUCCCAUAACGAGCGCAACCCCUAUCAUUAGUUGCCAUCGGGUAAAGCCGGGGACUCUAGUGAAACUGCCACCGUAAGGUGAGAGGAAGGUGGGGAUGACGUCAAAUCAGCACGGCCCUUAUGUCCAGGGCUACACACGUGUUACAAUGGUCGGUACAGAGGGCAGCUACCUGGUGACAGGAUGCGAAUCUCUAAAGCCGGUCCAAGUUCGGAUCGAAGUCUGCAACUCGACUUCGUGAAGCUGGAAUCGCUAGUAAUCGUAUAUCAGCAAUGAUACGGUGAAUACGUUCCCGGGCCUUGUACACACCGCCCGUCAAGCCAUGGAAGCUGGGGGUGCCUGAAGUUCGUAACCGUAAGGAGCGACCUAGGGUAAAACUAGUGACUGGGGCUAAGUCGUAACAAGGUAACC